rnacentral:rRNA from 1 species
GAGUUUGAUCCUGGCUCAGGAUGAACGCUAGCGGGAGGCCUAACACAUGCAAGCUGAGCGGUAGAGAUCUUUCGGGAUCUUGAGAGCGGCGUACGGGUGCGGAACACGUGUGCAACCUGCCUUUAUCAGGGGGAUAGCCUUUCGAAAGGAAGAUUAAUACCCCAUAAUAUAUUGAUUGGCAUCAAUUAAUAUUGAAAACUCCGGUGGAUAGAGAUGGGCACGCGCAAGAUUAGAUAGUUGGUAGGGUAACGGCCUACCAAGUCAGUGAUCUUUAGGGGGCCUGAGAGGGUGAUCCCCCACACUGGUACUGAGACACGGACCAGACUCCUACGGGAGGCAGCAGUGAGGAAUAUUGGACAAUGGGUUAGCGCCUGAUCCAGCCAUCCCGCGUGAAGGACGACGGCCCUAUGGGUUGUAAACUUCUUUUGUAUAGGGAUAAACCUUUCCACGUGUGGGAAGCUGAAGGUACUAUACGAAUAAGCACCGGCUAACUCCGUG